CUAAAGUCUUGAUGGGCCUUCCCUG
rnacentral:piRNA from 1 species